CUCCCAAUGUUUAUACUCUCACUGUUUUGAUUAAUUGCUUCUGCCAUCUGAACCGGGUCGAUUUUGGGUUCUCCGUCUUAGCAACAAUUUUGAAACUUGGAUAUCAACCAAACCGUAUAACUCUUAACCACUUUUGUCAAGGGGCUUUAUCUUAGAGGUAACAUUGCUGGAGCUGUGAGGUUGGUGGAGGAAAUGGAGAAGAAAGGGUAUGAACCUGAUGCAAUUACUUGUGGGACGAUAGUAAAUGGUUUGUGUAAGAAUGGCCAAACUGGUGUGGCUAUUAAGUUGCUCAGGAUGCUUGGAAAAAGGAAUUUUGAACAAAAUGUGGUGCUCUAUAGCACGGUAAUUGAUGGUUUAUGUAAGGACAGAUUGGUAACUGAGGCUUUGAAUCUUUUAUCUGAAAUGAUGAGUAAAGGCAUUCAGCCAAACGUUGUCACUUACAAUUCCUUAGUUCAAGGACUAUGCAAUUUUGGCCGGUGGAGGGAGGCGGCUACUUUGUUGAAUGAGAUGGGGCAAAGGAAGGUCAUGCCAGAUGUACAAACAUUUAGCAUAUUGGUGGACACACGUUGCAAGGAAGGGAUGUUGACUGAGGCAAAAGAAAUUUUUGAUGUGAUGAUUCAAAGAGGCAUUGAUCCUAACAUAGUCACUUACAAUUCUUUGAUUGAUGGUUAUUGUUUGCAAAACAGACUGGAUGAGGCAGUUAAGACGUUUAAUAUGAUGGAUGAGAAGGGUUGUUCACCCGAUGUGGUUAGCUAUAGCAUAUUGAUCAAUGGAUAUUGCAAAAGUGAAAAAAUUGAUGAGGCAAUGCGUCUAUUUCAUGAAAUGUCCAACAAAGGAAUGAUUCCCGAUGUAGUGACUUACACCUCUCUUAUUGGUGGGUUUUGUCGAGUGGAGAGAGUCCAAGCUGCACUAGAGCUAUUCAAUACAAUGCGAGCUUGUGGCCAACAUCCAGAUCCCCAAACCUAUGCCAUCUUGUUAGAUGGCUUUUUUAAGAAGAGACGAAUUUCUGAGGCAAUGGCAUUGUUUCAGGAGAUGGAAGACAAAAGGCUGGACUGUGGUAUUGUGAUUUACAGCAUCUUGAUCGAUGGUUUCUGCAAUGUUGGGGAACUUACGACUGCAAGAGAAAUCUUUAGUGGCCUUCCUGCAAAAGGAUUGAAACCUAAUGUUUGGACUUACACUACAAUGAUCAAAGGAUUUUGCAAGAAUGGACUAGUUAAUGAAGCAAGUGAGCUGCUUGAGAAAAUGGCAAUGGUUGUUCACCUAACGAGCACACAUAUAACACAAUAAUCCGUGGGUUUUUGCAACAUAGAGAGACAACAAAGGCAAUGAAAUAUCACAAAAUGAUGGUUGACAAGGGAUUUUCAGCAAACGCAACAACUGCAGCCUUAUCAAAAAAUUAAGUAGAUGAAAAUAUUCAAGAAUUGCUUCUAAAGUUCGUGUGAAGGUUUUUUAGGUUCUCAAGAUCAAGGACGACAUUCAUAUUUAACCAAUCACAAGUCAUUAUCCAUUCAGACUCAGAGGUAGAGCCACCUUGUGGUUCUGAAACAAGAGCUUCAACAGCAGAGAAGCUUUACCAAACUUUUAUUAUCUUUGUACCAGUCUCCUCCGCUUUCAUCAUCCUCUUCUUCUUCUAUCUUUGCUAUCUACGCCAUCAAAGGGCCAAUUCGUCCUCUCUUCAAAUACCACCAUCUUAUGCCAACAACAAUGAUAUCUCCAGGAACUGAGAGAGAUGCUACCGAUUAUUGUAUACAAGGAGAGCUUCUCCAU